rnacentral:rRNA from 1 species
ACACAUGCAAGUCGAGGGGAAACGACAUCGAAAGCUUGCUUUUGAUGGGCGUCGACCGGCGCACGGGUGAGUAACGCGUAUCCAACCUGCCCACCACUUGGGGAUAACCUUGCGAAAGUAAGACUAAUACCCAAUGAUAUCUCUAGAAGACAUCUGAAAGAGAUUAAAGAUUUAUCGGUGAUGGAUGGGGAUGCGUCUGAUUAGCUUGUUGGCGGGGUAACGGCCCACCAAGGCGACGAUCAGUAGGGGUUCUGAGAGGAAGGUCCCCCACAUUGGAACUGAGACACGGUCCAAACUCCUACGGGAGGCAGCAGUGAGGAAUAUUGGUCAAUGGGCGAGAGCCUGAACCAGCCAAGUAGCGUGCAGGAUGACGGCCCUAUGGGUUGUAAACUGCUUUUAUAAGGGAAUAAAGUGAGUCUCGUGAGACUUUUUGCAUGUACCUUAUGAAUAAGGACCGGCUAAUUCCGUGCCAGCAGCCGCGGUAAUACGGAAGGUCCGGGCGUUAUCCGGAUUUAUUGGGUUUAAAGGGAGCGUAGGCCGGAGAUUAAGCGUGUUGUGAAAUGUAGACGCUCAACGUCUGCACUGCAGCGCGAACUGGUUUCCUUGAGUACGCACAAAGUGGGCGGAAUUCGUGGUGUAGCGGUGAAAUGCUUAGAUAUCACGAAGAACUCCGAUUGCGAAGGCAGCUCACUGGAGCGCAACUGACGCUGAAGCUCGAAAGUGCGGGUAUCGAACAGGAUUAGAUACCCUGGUAGUCCGCACGGUAAACGAUGGAUGCCCGCUGUUGGUCUGAAUAGGUCAGCGGCCAAGCGAAAGCAUUAAGCAUCCCACCUGGGGAGUACGCCGGCA